rnacentral:rRNA from 1 species
AUUGAACGCUGGCGGCAGGCCUAACACAUGCAAGUCGAGCGAGCGGCGGGCGAGUCCGUAAUGCCUGGGAGUAGCCCGGGUGAGGGGGAUGACUAUUGGACACGAUCGGUAAUCGCGCAUACGACCGGAUUACCGCUGGUGGGAUUAGCUGGUUGGUGGGGUAAUGGCUCACCAAGGCAACGAUCCGUAGCUGGUCUGAGAGGAUGAUCAGCCACACUGGAACUGAGACACGGUCCAGACUCCUACGGGAGGCAGCAGUGGGGAAUAUUGCACAAUGGGGGAAACCCUGAUACAGCCAUGCCGCGUGUAUGAAGAAGGCCUUCGGGUUGUAAAGUACUUUCAGUUGUGAGGCGUUAGCAACAGAAGAAGCACCGGCUAACUCCGUGCCAGCAGCCGCGGUAAUUC